rnacentral:rRNA from 1 species
UACGUAGGGGGCUAGCGUUGUCCGGAAUCAUUGGGCGUAAAGAGCGUGUAGGCGGUUUGGUAGGUCCGUUGUGAAAACUCGAGGCUCAACCUCGAGACGCCGAUGGAAACCAUCAGACUAGAGUCCGGAAGAGGAGAGUGGAAUUCCUGGUGUAGCGGUGAAAUGCGCAGAUAUCAGGAAGAACACCCGUGGCUAAGGCGGCUCUCUAGUACGGUAC